CUGACUUGCUUGGGUUCGAGGUUGAAUAGUUCAGAAAACAUCCUCAUCCUCAUCUCAUCAAUCAAGCCCACGGCAGCUUUUUAAACCCACAAUUGCAUCAGCAUGCAAAAAUAUAUGAGUCGAGCUUUGUGCAAGUGCAUCUCUAAUGCCGCCAGAGACGCCACUCACUCGCUGCUCAUGACAGGGCCAACAACUGUGGGCACUCAUUUUACAUGAUUACGCUUUAUCAUCAACUUCUUUUCAAGAGGCAUUUUUCUCCUUUGGCUCAUGUGGCUAACCGUUAGCGGAUGACCCCAUCACAACGAACACACAAGUAUUAAAACACUGUGUGCACAAUGUCAUGUUCAGCAAGUUGUUAGUUCAUAAAACGACUCUUCACACAACUCUCUUUGUGCAUCACGAGUGUGUUAAGUGUUAAUUAGUCAACCACUCUUGCUCUACCUUUCGCACAUGCCAAGAGUGGAAUGAAAUUUCCCUGAUGGGUUACAUCCUCACCUGCAGACGCUAGAUUGUUGCAAUUAAGCUUUGUGAGUGCCCACACCACUGACCAACUUAUAUAACGUGUGUAAUUAGCACUGACUCGCUCGUGUCACACUAUCGAUCUCUUUUGCGAAGGUGAGUUGGAGAAAUCAUGGCAGGGCGAAUGUGGAAUGCAAUGACCUUUUAGCUAUGUUUCAAUUCAUUUCCCCCUUUCUAUUUACCGGAUAUUUUCACUCUUUUCAGGUACUGUAUUUUCUGAAGAAUAACGAAUGAAUCGUGAAUCACAACAGCCACCUCUAGAGCCUUAUUUUUCUCAGGACUACCUUGCACUGAGCGGGAAAAGUAUAAGAGAGUCUCAAGCAUAGGUGUCAAACUCAGGUCUUGGGGGCCGCUGUCCUGCAUGUUUUCCAAGUCUCCCUGUUGCAACACACCUGAUACAAAUGAUCAGAUCAUCAGCAAGCUCUGCGGAAGCCUGACAUUGAACAUGUUCAUUUGAAUGGUCUAAAGUAACUUAAAGCAACUGUAACCCGGAUUAUGAAAUGUGGCAAUGGGGAGGGGACAUAACCAAAAUCUAUAUUGACUGAAAGAGUAGCGUCGUUAAAAAAAUGUUUAAUUAAACACAAUUGAAUAUUGCCGUGGCCCGAGCGAAUCAGGGCACAAACUAGUGGGAUGUCAGCGACUGAGAGGUGCAGUUUUUCACCUUCGUGACGUCACGAACGUGCGGCGCAACCUAUCUCGGUCUCUUUUUCUGGCGGGACCUGAACGCGAGCGGACGUAUUCUUCGCCGUUGUGAGGAAGUGUUUCGGGAGAAAGAGAGUCAUUCUACGCAACCUCGAGUACUGCACCGGGCUAACGUAGCUGUUAGCAUUACGUACCGCCGGGAUUUCGCCGACCGUAUGACAUCGUCGGAGUAUCGUUCAACAUUCUUCUGGCCGGGUCUUUUGUGGAGUUCUAAUUGAGGACAGCGCUGGGAUUAGCGUGCCUUCAGUGGAGUGGAUUCCAUUACGGUGCCCUGACGUCCAAAAGUGCUGGAAAACCAAAGAACAUACAAUAUAUUACAUUUGAUAAAUUUUAAUUUAUUUUAUUUGUGUUGGUGAUGUUCAGAAGAAUUUAUUUUGUCCGACAGGAGUUGACAAGAACAUUUUGUGUUUAGUUAUUUCAUUCAGAUUGAAAAAAAAGGGAACUCACACCGGUGUUGAGCAAGGUGAUCACCAAUUAUUUUGCUUGAGGGAAAGGUCAACUAAGAGGUUGAGACUAAAUUGUAUUUAUUUACUGUCUUUUUUCCACUGGGGUUGUUGUGAUAAUUUUGUUGCCCUGUGUCUGUUUGAUAUAAAAGUUAAUUCUUUUUACAACUGUUGUCUUGUUUCUUUGCCCAUGCCACCCCCUCAAUAGGGACAUCAUUGGCUCCAGUGAAUCGAACCUAGUGUCCCCUUACUGGUCUAAGUAGAAACCCGUUGUCUACCCAUAGUGUUUUAUCAUCUCCAGCAAUUAUAAAACAAACGUAGCCCUUGUUACACAACAAAGACGGAGCAUCCGAGCUGAAGCAUGAACAACCAAAUCCAAAAUGAAAAGCUGGAACUUCAUUUGCUUUGCAUGUUUAAGAAAGUUAUUGUAACAUGUGCAGAAUGUGGUUUGGCAUUGCACUGCUGAAAUAAGCAGGCGCAGCCGUGAAAAUGACUUUGCUUGGAUGGCAGCAUAUGUUUCUCCAAAACCUGUCUGUACCUUUUUCAUCAUUAAUGGUGCCUUCACAGAUGUCAAAGUUGCCAAUGCCAUUAGUCGUAACGGAGCCCCAUAGCAUCACGGAUGCUGGCUUCUGAGCUUUGCGUCCAUAACAGCCCGUAUGGUUCGUUUCCUCCCUGGCCCAGAGGAGAUGGCGACCACAA